AUGCCUCAACAGCAAGGACAAAGACAUCAAACUCAAACAAAUGAAGUACUAUUUCAAGGGAUUGAAUUCUUGCAGCGGGAUCCAGCACUACAUCCACAGAUUUGGCAAUAUCCACCUAAUCAAAGAGAUGAUGUGCAGCGAGCAUAUUUGAAGCUUGGUAUUAUGCAGCCCCGUUUGCAGAAUUACAAAGCUUAUCCAGAAGGUUGCAAAAGACGCUUUAAGUAUGACUGGUUCAAGGAUUUCCCAUCAUGGUUGGAGUACUUGGAGGACAGUCAUCAUGCAUAUUGCGUCUAUUGUUUCUUUUUCAGCAAAAACAAAAACAAGAGAGGUGGUUCAGAUGUCUUUACAGUACGAGGAUUUGUAAACUGGAAGAAGGUCCAUGAUGGAAAGAAAUGUGCUUUCUUAAAUCACAUAGGUUCUGAACCUUGCUCUGAACAUAAUAAUGCAAUCAAAGCAUGCCAUGACUUCUUGAACCAGCAAGGCCAUUUAGAAAAUGUUGUAGCAGUGGGCAACCAGAGGGAUAUAGAAAGAAACCAGCUGAGGGUGAAAGUAUCAAUUGCAGCUGUUAAGUGGCUUACAACACAUUCGUGCGCAUUUAGAGGCCAUGAUGACACUCCAGACUCAAAGAACAGAGGGAACUUUAUUGAAUUGUUAAAGCUCCUUGCAGAAUUCAAUCCCGAGAUUGCUGAAAUUAUUUUGGAGAAUGCUCCAUACAGUUCAAAGUACACAUCACAUGAAAUCCAACAGGAGAUUUUGGGUAUUUAUGCAUUCAAAGUUAGGAAACAUAUCCGUGAAGAGAUUGGGGGUUCUAAGUUUUCUAUUCUAGUGGAUGAGACAUGUGAUGUAGCAAAAAGAGAGCAGAUGGCAUUGGUUCUCAGAUUUGUUGAUGAAGAUCGUAUAUUGCAAGAGCGGCUCUUUGCCUUGAUACAUGUGACGAACACCAAAGCUGCAACACUUAAAGAGGUAUUGAGUUAUGUGUUAUCCAAACAUGCUUUUGAUGUUCAGAACCUUCAUGGGCAGGGAUACGAUGGGGCUAGUAAUAUGAGGGGGGACUUCAAUGGCUUGCAAGCUCUUUUUCUCAGAGAAUGCCCGUGUGCAUAUUAUGUCCACUGCUAUGCUCAUCGCUUGCAACUUGCGCUAGUGUCUGCAUCGAACGCCAUGAUGAGCUUCGUGAUGUCCAGUUGGAGGAACUAG
rnacentral:rRNA from 1 species